GGAUGAACGCUAGCGGCAGGCUUAAUACAUGCAAGUCGAGGGGGCAACAGGGGUAGCAAUACCUGCUGGCGACCGGCAAACGGGUGCGGAACACGUACAGAACCUUCCUUUAAGCGGGGGAUAGCCCAUAGAAAUGUGGAUUAAUACCCCAUAGUAAUAUUUGGUGGCAUCAUUAGAUAUUUAAAGAUUUAUCACUUAAAGAUGGCUGUGCGGCUGAUUAGGUAGUUGGUUGGGGUAACGGCCCACCAAGCCAGCGAUCAGUAACUGGUGUGAGAGCACGGACCAGUCACACGGGCACUGAGACACGGGCCCGACUCCUACGGGAGGCAGCAGUAAGGAAUAUUGGUCAAUGGACGCAAGUCUGAACCAGCCAUGCCGCGUGAAGGAUGAAGGCCCUCUGGGUUGUAAACUUCUUUUAUCU
rnacentral:rRNA from 1 species